rnacentral:rRNA from 1 species
AUUGAACGCUGGCGGCAGGCCUAACACAUGCAAGUCGAGCGGAUGAAGGGAGCUUGCUCCUGGAUUCAGCGGCGGACGGGUGAGUAAUGCCUAGGAAUCUGCCUGGUAGUGGGGGAUAACGUCCGGAAACGGGCGCUAAUACCGCAUACGUCCUGAGGGAGAAAGUGGGGGAUCUUCGGACCUCACGCUAUCAGAUGAGCCUAGGUCGGAUUAGCUAGUUGGUGGGGUAAAGGCCUACCAAGGCGACGAUCCGUAACUGGUCUGAGAGGAUGAUCAGUCACACGGGAACUGAGACACGGUCCAGACUCCUACGGGAGGCAGCAGUGGGGAAUAUUGGACAACGGGCGAAAGCCUGAUCCAGCCAUGCCGCGUGUGUGAAGAAGGUCUUCGGAUUGUAAAGCACUUUAAGUUGGGAGGAAGGGCAGUAAGUUAAUACCUUGCUGUUUUGACGUUACCAACAGAAUAAGCACCGGCUAACUUCGUG